AAAAAUCCUCUUCUUCUUCUUCUUCAUCUAA
rnacentral:sRNA from 1 species